CCUACGGGAUGCACCAGUGAGGAAUAUUGGACAAUGGGUGGAAGCCUGAUCCAGCCAUCCCGCGUGCAGGAAGACGGCCCUAUGGGUUGUAAACUGCUUUUAUCUGGGGAUAAACCUACUUACGUGUAAGUAGCUGAAGGUACCAGAAGAAUAAGCACCGGCUAACUCCGUGCCAGCAGCCGCGGUAAUACAGAGGGUGCAAGCGUUAUCUGGACUUAUUGGGUUUAAAGGGUUCGUAGGCGGACUAGUAAGUCAGUGGUGAAAUCCGACAGCUUAACUGUCGAACUGCCAUUGAUACUGCUAGUCUUGAGUAAGGUUGAAGUGGCUGGAAUAAGUAGUGUAGCGGUGGAAUGCAUAGAUAUUACUUAGAACACCAAUUGCGAAGGCAGGUCACUAAGUCUUAACUGACGCUGAUGGACGAAAGCGUGGGGAGCGAACAGGAUUAGAUACCCCAGUAGUC
rnacentral:rRNA from 1 species